ACCGCUCCUGUCGAUCCCUCGAGGACACAGAGCCGCCGUCCUCUCGUGCGAUCUCGCUGCCGCCGCCCUCCGAUCUGCUCCUCCUCGUCUCCCGAGGAUACGCAGACGCAUCCGCAUCCGCCGACGCCGAUCCGGGCAGAUGCGGCCGUCGUGGAUCACGAGGACACCGUCACAACCGGCGCCUCGGAUACGUCGCCCGUCAUGGAUCAGGAUCCCCAGGAUGCCGACGCCGCCGCGGAUCCACUGCCACGCGCAGCUCGGGCCCGAGCCGCGACGGGCUCGGCUAUCGCCGCUGCCGCGUGCGCCCUUCGUCUCCAGGCUCGGAGAGCCCCGCCGCCAGCCACCCCCAACCCACAUCGGCGUCAAGCUAUCUCCUUGGUGUUGUUGUCCUCGAUAGGCUAAUGACUCGAGGCAUGCUGCUAGCAGAAUUACAGAAGGCCAUACAGUCAGCGGCAAAGUGCUCGCCGUCGCCAAUGAUUGACUGCUGAGGAUCUCCAUUCGGGGAUUUAGCUACCUGCUCAAAUAAGAUGGUCAAUAGUUAUUCUAUGGAUGAAGAAGGAGAAGACAAGGGAACACAAUAAUUUCUGUGUCAUAUUAUUUGUUUCUGAUGGGGCUACUCUGGAAUACAGUUUAUGGGCGAGAGAUCAGACUUUCAGAUUGGGUGCGGUAUUAUAUCUCGUCAGAUUCAGUAACCAGCGUGGAAUUAAUUUUAAUUUUGUUCCUCAUCAGAUAAGUAGAGACAUGCUUUACCCCAAUCUUCAUUGAUGAAUCUCAACUACAAAAUCCAUGAUAGUUGCGCUGUAUUUUGUUGGGUCCAACAUAAAGCUGAGAGCAGAGUACCUACUUUGUCUUGGUAUAUCAAAAUAAUAAGGAAUCUGUGAGAUUAGAUAAGCCAAAUAGUUGGUACUUGCUGAGUCUACAAAAUUAUCUUAAAUGUUCCAUUUAGUAGUUCACUGAAUAUUAAACUAUGAUGUUUCUUCCAUUGGGGAGUUGUUUUAUGUAGCCCAAACAACAAACAGCCUAUGAACUUCUGAACCAAUUCUUUUUUUAGUAGGACCUUAUGCUCUUUUAACUGAAAAACUGGGAGCACUAGCAGUUCUUCACAAGGUAAUCACCUCCUAUGAAUGUUUGGUGGUGCUGGUCCAAUUUCUAUUGCAUUGCUUCUGAUGUAUGAAUGGACUAUUUUCCUCAUUUGCUAAUUAACGCAACUGGCGUAAUUCUUCAUGAGAAUAGAUAUUUUUGUAGUGCACAGUAUGUUUAUUUUAGUUACCCUCCUUAUGAAUAGAUUUUUUGUAGUGUACAGUACAAUUUUUUUGUCAGGAUUGCAUGUUGCUUGCUACUGCUACUUUUGUACAAUUGUGUUGUUUUGUAAUAUUUCUUAACUGUUAAGAGAUAUUGCCACACUGAGAUUUUGCUACGGGAAUGAAAGUGGAUUGGACAAUGCCGCUAGCUCGGAUGGCGCCCCGUCUGCAUGUCGAUCGGGGGCGAUGUGAGGAGGGCAAGGUAGAGAAAGGGGGUCAGGUUGGCGCCACAGUAGAGGUGAGCGAGGGGGCGGGGUUGCGUCGCUGCUGAGAUGCGCGAGGGGAUCGGAGCUGCGCCAAGCGGAUUCAUCAGAGCACUUCGCUCCCGCUGCCUUUGGACUGAUGCUUAGAUGGAUUGAUGCGUAAGAGUUUGAAUCCUUUCAUUUUUCACUUCUCUAAUGGGUGGCUGAUGGCCUGAUGCUUUGAUGGAUCGAUGCAUGCUAGAACUGGCUGAUAUGUGCGUGCGUGUGCACAUUUUUUAUUUUGAUUUUUGUAGAGAUUGGUUCAUGCUUCUCUUCUUAUGGAUUUCUUCUUUCUUUUGUCUGUGUUUGUCACUCUGUUGCUGAAUGAUUUGGUGAUUUUUUUCUUUGUGGGCUUAUCUGAUGAAAUUUACUGCUAAUUAGAUCGUGCACUGACGCUGCCACCAGAAGAUAGAUCAUAGAUGCAUGUGUUUGCUUUCGAACAUGGUGCGUAAUCUUUAGGUUUGCCAAACGUCACCUCCGGCAAUUUCAGCUCAACAUGUCUUGGUUUCUGCAGAUGAUUUGGUGAUUUUUCUUUUCUUUGUGGGCUUAUCUGAUGAAAUUUACUGCUAAUUAGAUCGUGCACUGACGCUGCCACCAGAAGAUAGAUCAUAGAUGCAUGUGUUUGCUUUCGAACAUGGUGCGUAAUCUUUAGGUUUGCCAAAUGUCACCUCCGGCAAUUUCAACUCAACAUGUCUUGGUUUCUGCAUUCUGAGUUUAGAGUUCUACAUAGUGGAAUGGUUAGUAUAUGGGAGUUUGCAUCUACAGUUGCAUACUGUAGUUCCAUUCCGUCCUUCCUUAUUCAGAGAUGAACUGAACCUCUCAUUUUUCAUGUACUUUUGUGUGAUUGUGUGAAAGUGAGGUGGAACUGACUAUUCCGGGGGGAAAUCAAAAGAUACCACAUUAGUAUAGUAGAACGUACUACUUGCUCUUAAGAUUUCAGAAAUGACAUGUCAAGGACAGGGUAUAGAGAUCCGAAGAGUAUUCUCCUUCCGUCAUCGGUUGUUAAAUUAGUAACGCCCAGCAUCGUGUGCGAUGGAGCCCUUACCGCUGUUCACAACUGAACUCUUUAUUUUAUUUUAAUCCUUCGGAUUUGUCGGGUCAGGGAUCCUUCAGUUUUGUUGGAUCAGGAAGUAAGAGCACCGGGACUUCAAGGACGAUGUAGAUUGUCGAAGGCAAAGUUGCAGAGUGCAUGGGCAGCAGUACCAGUGCAAGAACCUCGCGCAUGACGGAGCUGCUGUGGUAGAGAAGCAAAACCCAACGACUAACUCUACAAGCUCUGGUCGCUGUCUUAAACAUCACUAACGUAAUCAUAUCUCACUCCAUUAUGCAAAUUUUAUUUCUGAUUUUUUUAUUCUAUUUCAGUACUUGUACCUUUUUACAAUGCGUUUAGUGCAUAUGAAUGAAGUAUAUUGAUUUAUCUUCUACCUAUGGUUUUCUGUGCUUUAUUGGUGCUCAACGUUUUUGACAUGUUGGCAUGCAUAUUACUAAAUUUGGUCAAGCAACCCGCCAACAAAUACAAAGAAGGGCUAUAUGUCUUCUGAUCGUCUUGAUGGCAUAUAUGAGGACCUGCAAUACUGAACCUGGAAGUUAGUGUCGUUGAGGCAGUGGUCAUGGUAGUGAUAUCUACUGCCAGAACAUAAACGUUUGGCCCUCCUUGUUGCCACGAAGGAUUAUGAUCUACUGGAUUUACAGAACCAGUUAAUGGCAUGAUGCUGGCAGUAGUAAUGGAGGGUUGUGAUUUCUGGAUGGAAUAGGACGGAUUGGCGUCCUCUUCUCACGAAACACACUGACACAAAAUUUCUGGUUUCUGACGUACAAGGAUUAUUUACUAUGAACAAAUAUUGCAAUGUUCAUUCGUAGUACUGUUUGUUGAGGCGAUGCCUCUCCUACAGUCUGUUAUUGUUGUUAUCUUCUUGGGAGUACUUGAGAAGGCGCGAAGAGGAAGGUGGGGACACGCCAUGGCAGAGGCCAGUGCCGAAUCUACGUGUAAGCCGUGGCGUCGGCUGCUGGCAGAGGCGCGUGGUUGACAGGAGGAGCCGGGGAGGCAUGACGGUGGACAUGUGGAUGUUAUCGUGGCAUUGACACAUUUCGCCCUACCAACACUGCAUACCAACGUGACUGAAUGUUAUCGUGGCUUAGAUGCCCUAUCAAAUUCUUGCUUGACUUUUUGGUUUUGUAUACAUGGUAUUUCUCAUGUGAGUUGAAACCACAUUUGGUUGGUCCAAUAGUAAAUAAUCAUAUGUUUCACUCUAAAA